UAAUUUAUCACAAUAAUAUGUAAUACUAUACUAUCUUAAAAGACAACAUUCAAUUGUUCCAUAAUUUAAUAACUGAAAUCCUUCACAUUUAACUGUUAUUUUUUCUAUACUUUUUUACAUAUAUCCAAACUUCAAAGACUCCUUCUCAAACCUCAAUAUUAUAAUUCUUCCAUUCAUAUCCAUUCUUCACCAAUACUUCAAUUUUUUACUUAUAAUUCUCUAUUGUAUUCAUCCACAAUAAAUUCCAUACUUCAUAUACAAUAUUAAAUCUCUUUUUUAUUCCAAAAUUUUACUUCAAAUUAUUUAGAAACUAUCCAUUACUCUUCAACUACAAAAAAACAAAGAGGUAGUACCAAGCUUAUCCCAGCUCAUAACUAUCAUAGUCUAGCCCCUCCUACUUCA
rnacentral:lncRNA from 1 species